rnacentral:rRNA from 1 species
GACGAACGCUGGCGGCGUGCUUAACACAUGCAAGUCGAACGCUGAAGCUCAGCUUUUGUUGGGUGGAUGAGUGGCGAACGGGUGAGUAACACGUGAGUAACCUGCCCCCUUCUUUGGGAUAACGCCCGGAAACGGGUGCUAAUACCGGAUAUUCACUGGUCUUCGCGUGGGGGUUGGUGGAAAGGGGUUUUCUGGUGGGGGAUGGGCUCGCGGCCUAUCUGCUUGUUGGUGGGGUUAUGGCCUACCAAGGCUUUGACGGGUAGCCGGCCUGAGAGGGUGACCGGUCACAUUGGGACUGAGAUACGGCCCAGACUCCUACGGGAGGCAGCAGUGGGGAAUAUUGCACAAUGGGCGCAAGCCUGAUGCAGCGACGCCGCGUGAGGGAUGGAGGCCUUCGGGUUGUGAACCUCUUUCGCUCAUGGUCAAGCCGCAACAAUGGUUGUGGUGAGGGUAGUGGGUAAAGAAGCGCCGGCUAACUACGUG